rnacentral:rRNA from 1 species
GACGAACGCUGGCGGCGUGCUUAACACAUGCAAGUCGAACGGUGAAAGCGGAGCUUGCUCCGCUGGAUCAGUGGCGAACGGGUGAGUAACACGUGGGCAACCUGCCCCUCACUUCGGGAUAACUCCGGGAAACCGGGGCUAAUACCGGAUAUGACCUCCUUGGGCAUCCUUGGCGGUGGAAAGUGUUUCGGUGAGGGAUGGGCCCGCGGCCUAUCAGCUGGUGGGGGAGUUAGUGGGUCACCAAGGCGACGACGGGUAGCCGGCCUGGGAGGGUGACCGGCGAACCGGGGACUGGGAGACGGCCCAGACGCCUCCGGUGGGCAUCAGUGGGGAAUGUUGCGCGAUGGUGGAAAGCCUGACGCAGCAACGCCGCGUGCGGGAUGACGGCCUUCGGGUUGUAAACCGCUUUCAGCAGGGAAGAAGCCGCAAGGUGACGGUACCUGCAGAAGAAGCACCGGCUAACUACGUGCCAGCCGCCGCGGUAA